rnacentral:tRNA from 1 species
GGUGAUGUGGUUCAGUGGUAGAGCACUUGCCUAACUUGCAUAAGUCCCUGGGUUCAAUCCCCAGCACAAUUA